UACGUAGGGUGCGAGCGUUGUCCGGAAUUACUGGGCGUAAAGAGCUCGUAGGUGGUUUGUCGCGUUGUUCGUGAAAACCGGAGGCUCAACCUCUGGCGUGCGGGCGAUACGGGCAGACUUGAGUACUGCAGGGGAGACUGGAAUUCCUGGUGUAGCGGUGAAAUGCGCAGAUAUCAGGAGGAACACCGAUGGCGAAGGCAGGUCUCUGGGCCACUACUGACGCUGAGAAGCGAAAGCAUGGGGAGCGAACAGG
rnacentral:rRNA from 1 species